CCAAGGUUCGACUCGAGCGAAGCGAGAGAACGUUGCCGCAGGCAAUGGCCCGAAGGCGAGGCGCUUUAGCGCCGAGUAAUCCUUACCCCACCACUG
rnacentral:sRNA from 7 species